rfam:Erinaceus europaeus unplaced genomic scaffold scaffold00004, whole genome shotgun sequence
GAAUAUGAGGGCAGUCUCACUGUGACAUCUGUCAUCCCAUUGAUCACCAGAGUUGAUUCAGCGAAUCUGACUAUCAAAGCCAGUGUCCCCUUCUUUCCUCACUGAUCCAUGUGCGUCUCUCCCAAAUCUGUGUGCUUGGUCAAAGAGGAUAACCUUCCUUGAACAGAAAUGGACCAGUCUUUGGUUGAGGGUAUAUAAGAAGCUGUGCUCCCCUCCUGGAGCCACCACAUGUGUACAUAAAUCUCUCUAGAUGAAUGUUUGUUUCCUUUACUAUUCUAUCUAAAGAAAUUUCUAGUUCUUU